UGACAGUCAAGGCUGACUUGUUGACUGA
rnacentral:piRNA from 1 species